CAAAACGGAGAGUUUGAUCCUGGCUCAGGAUGAACGCUGGCGGUAUGCUUAACACAUGCAAGUCGAACGGGAUGCUUAGGCAUCUAGU
rnacentral:rRNA from 1 species